CCGUGCGCGCACCCGGUCAGCUCUCAGACCUGACUAGCGAAGCGGAGGUUAUAUCUGCAUGGCUUUUCAACGAUAGUGACAACUGAGGAACACCAAGGGGCUGACACAGCGUGGUGGCUUUAUUUCUGCUGGACAGGUCACCUGCAGAUUUGGAGUCUUCCAACACCCUGUACUUCUCACCAGUACACUGAUCGGACCACGCUGGUUGGCCUGGAUUACAGCCACUGUGUCCACAGUCCAGCCAGGAGAAAAGCUGAUGACACAAUUCAGUACAGCAAGGUGUACAACAAAAAGUCCAGGAAGUGGAUUGAAGGUGGAGAAGGACUACA